CCAAGGAAAAAGAAAGACGAAACGAACAAAACCGGUCAUAUCCUAAAUUCAUGGGAAUCGAUAUAUCGGAGCCGCUGAUUCUCGAAACGGAAAUAUUUGACGCCGGCGCUGAGUCGGAGCGAGUUCCCGAAUGGAAAGAUCAUAUAACGAUCAGAGGGCUCGUGGUGAGCGCCUUGUUAGGGACUCUAUUUUGCAUCAUCACACACAAGAUGAAUCUAACGGCCGGGAUGUUUCCCACGUUGAACGUCGGCGCUGAAUUGCUUGGAUACUUCUUCGUAAAAUCGUGGACCGGUUUCUUGUCUAAGUUUGGGUUCCGAGUUUCGCCUUUUACCAAACAAGAAAACACUGUAAUUCAGACUUGCGUCGUCGCUUGUUACGGCCUCGCUUUUAAUGGGGGAUUUGGAUCGUAUCUGAUUGCAAUGGAUGAAAGAACAUAUAAUCGUAUCGGUGUUGAUUACCCUGGAAACCGAGCGGAAGAUGUUAAGAACCCGGGGAUUGGAUGGAUGAUGGGUUUCCUCUUCGCUGUCAGCUUCCUUGGGCUGUUUAGUGUUGCUCCGCUUCGUAAGGGGUUUUGGAUCGUGUCUGAUUGCAAUGGAUGAAAGAACAUAUAAUCUUAUCGGUGUUGAUUACCAUGGAAACCGAGCGGAAGAUGUUAAGAACCCGGGGAUUGGAUGGAUGAUUGGUUUCCUCUUUGUUGUCAGCUUCCUUGGACUGUUUAGUGUUGCUCCGCUUCGUAAGGUAUAACUGUUCUGAGUUGUGACAGUUUAAUAACUGAUUGUGUGUCUUAUAGGAGGUUUUGGAUCGUAUCUGAUUGCAAUGGGAUGAAAGAACAUAUAAUCUUAUCAGUGUUGAUUACCCUGGAAACUGAGCGAAGAUGUUAAGAAACCGGGGAUUGGAUGGAUGCUCGGUUUCCUCUUUGUUGUCAGCUUCCUUGGGCUGUUUAGUGUUGCUGCGCUUCGUAAAGUAUAAAUGUUCUGAGGUGUGAGAGUUUAUUAUCUGAUUGUGUUUCUUAUAGGGGUUUUGGAUCGUGUCUGAUUGCAAUGGAUGAAAGAACAUAUAAUCUUAUCGGUGUUGAUUACCAUGGAAACCGAGCGGAAGAUGUUAAGAACCCGAGGAUUGGAUGGAUGAUUGGUUUCCUCUUUGUUGUCAGCUUCCUUGGACUGUUUAGUGUUGCUCCGCUUCGUAAGGUAUAACUGUUCUGAGGUGUGACAGUUUAAUAUCUGAUUGUGUUUCUUAUAGGAGGUUUUGGAUUGUAUCUGAUUGCAAUGGAUGAAAGAACAUAUAAACUUAUCAGUGUUGAUUACCCUGGAAACCGAGCGAAGAUGUUAAGAAACCGGGGAUUGGAUGGAUGCUCGGUUUCCUCUUUGUUGUCAGCUUCCUUGGGCUGUUUAGUGUUGCUCCGCUUCGUAAAAUAAUGGUCUUGGAUUAUAAACUCACAUAUCCCAGUGGAACGGCCUCAGCUAUGUUGAUAAAUAGUUUCCAUAACAACUCUGGUGCGGAGCUUGCAGGGUACUUAUUUGAUUCAUUUUGCUCAUUGCCUUUUCAUAGGUUACAUACAGCCCCAGUUAUGUAAAACUUAAUUACAAAAGCGAGUUGUCAAACUAGAUAAUGAAGAAUGCAAAGUCUUGAAUGAACAAUCAUGCAUUUACAACUUGAAUGAAACAGCUACUUUAAAUCGUAAGAUUUGCUUCGUAAAUAACUAGAGAGAAUAGUUUUUUACCUUUUUGAGUUUGCUGCAGGAAGCAAGUUGAGUGGCUUGGAAAAUAUCUGAGUAUAAAUUUAGUUUGGAGCUGCUUCAAGUGGUUUUUUAGUGGUAUUGGAGAUUCUUGUGGGUUUGAUAAGUUUCCCACUUUUGGUUUAACGAUGUUCAAAAACUCGUAAA